ensembl:rRNA 5S_rRNA 5S ribosomal RNA
GCUUACGGCCAUACCCCUUAGGCACGCCCUGGAUCUCGUCUGAUCUCGGAAGCUAAGCAGGGUCGGGCCUGGUUAGUACUUGGAUGGGUGACCGCCUGGGAAUACCAGGUGCUGUAAGCA